GAACUACUUGAAAAUGAUUCACAUGUGACAUUUAACUCCGAGUAGGCUUGCUAAGAUGUAUAAGACUGAAUCAGGUAAGUGUUGUAGAUGCAAAGAGAUGGAGGGAACAUUCAUUCAUAUGUGGUGGACUUGUAAAAGGGUAAAAUAGUAUUGGGAAAUGAUCCAUAAUGAAUUGAAAAGAAAUGUUUAAAUGUACUUUCCCUCCCAAAAUAGAGUCCUUUCUGUUGGGGAUAAUUCAGACUGAAAUUCCCAGGUGUCAAAAAAGGUUAUUUAUGUAUGCUACUACUGCGGUCCGUGUUUUGUUAGCCCAAAGAUGGAAAACGAGCGAGGUCCCAACCAAAGAAGAAUGGCAACUUAAGUUGAUAGAAUAUGAACAACUUGCAGGCUUAACAUAUAGAAUAAGAGAACAAGAACAUAUGUUUAAAGAAGAUUGGAAAAAUUGCUAAAAUGUACAAAACAAAUUCUAAAAUGUGUUGGAAAUGUAAAGAGAAAGAGGACACUUUCUAUCAGAUGUGGUGGACAUGUAUUUUGGUAAAGGCUUUCUGAGAAAUGAUAUAUAACGAGUUAAAGAAAAUAUUUAAAAAUACAUUUGUCAAAAAACCAGAAGCCUUUUUACUAGGUAUAAUAGGUGAAGAGUUCCCAAGAGAAGAUAAAAAACUUUUUAUGUAUGCAAUGACGGCAGCGAGAAUGCUACUAGCCCAGAGAUGGGAAGAAGGAAGAAGGAGAAGUACCAGCAAAAGAAGAAUGGCAGGCCAUUUUGGGCAGCCAAGCCACUACUUGAAAGGGCAGCAAGACUUCUUAAAUGGUGGUGGAGCGGAAAACCCUUGACUGCCUUCUAUUUAUUAAAGGUGAGACAGGUUUUUAAUGUUUUAAUUAGUUUUUUAAAAGUAUUGUUUUGUUGUUUUGUUGCUUUGUUGUUCAUUGACUGAAGCUUCUUUGGCAGGAAGGGAAGGAUAAAAAAUUGAUUGAUUGAUUUAAAAGGUAUUUAGAUUCUUGCCACCCCGCCGAAAAUUCUUCAAUAUCUAGUGACUGACGUAACCAGUGACUAGAAGUCAAGAAAAGAAAAACUUCCUUAGGUGGCAGGCUUCAACCUAGUUAUAACAAGCUGUAAUGAAAUAAAACAGUGAAAUCUUUGCAUUACAUUGCAAUUUCAAUCAGAUGUAACCUAAUGAGUGAGAUGAGUUCCUCGGCACCAGUGAGGAUCAGCUGAGCUUCAAUUAAUGCACUGAUUCAAUUAAAUAAAGCUUGAAACUCAGAACGUAAUCCAUGCUCAACCCUUGAGAUUGAGUGGGAAGAAAACUAAAUAAAUAGUUUGUAGCUCUUGGAAAGAAAAGUAAUUAAUUGAAUGUUAAAGGUGAUUCCUUCCUACCUUGGCAUUUCACAACUUUAAAGUUACAUUUAGUUGCAUUUGAACUAAGUAUAAUUGUGUUUCAGAUUACACAGAAAAGAAGAAGAAACAGCAAAGAUUUAUGUAAGAUGAGCUGAUUGGCCCAAUUCACACCCAUCAGUUCUACAAGGGAAAAUGAACUGCUGUUUCAAUUACUAUUGCCACCAGUUGAAGGAAGGAAAGCUGAGGCUUCACUUUUAAAAUAAAUAUACUGAUUUUGAUGUUUUGAAGUAAAGCCUUUCCCUACAACUGCAU